rnacentral:rRNA from 1 species
UGCUGAAAGCAUCUAAGCAUGAAGCCCCCCUCAAGAUGAGAUUUCCCAACUUCGGUUAUAAGAUCCCUCAAAGAUGAUGAGGUUAAUAGGUUCGAGGUGGAAGCAUGGUGACAUGUGGAGCUGACGAAUACUAAUCGAUCGAAGACUUAAUCAA